CGCGUAGGUGGUUUGUUAAGUUGGAUGUGAAGGCCCCGGGCUCAACCUGGGAACUGCAUCCAAAACUGGCAAGCUAGAGUACGGUAGAGGGUGGUGGAAUUUCCUGUGUAGCGGUGAAAUGCGUAGAUAUAGGAAGGAACACCAGUGGCGAAGGCGACCACCUGGACUGAUACUGACACUGAGGUGCGAAAGCGUGGGGAGCAACA
rnacentral:rRNA from 1 species